rnacentral:rRNA from 1 species
GAUGAACGCUGGCGGCGUGCCUAAUACAUGCAAGUCGAGCGAACGGACGAGACGCUUGCUUUUCUGAUGUUAGCGGCGGACGGGUGAGUAACACGUGGAUAACCUACCUAUAAGACUGGGAUAACUUCGGGAAACCGGAGCUAAUACCGGCUAAUAUUUUGAACCGCAUGGUUCAAAAGUGAAAGACGGUCUUGCUGUCACUUAUAGAUGGAUCCGCGCUGCAUUAGCUAGUUGGUAAGGUAACGGCUUACCAAGGCAACGAUGCAUAGCCGACCUGAGAGGGUGAGCGGCCACACUGGAACUGAGACACGGUCCAGACUCCUACGGGAGGCAGCAGUAGGGAAUCUUCCGCAAUGGGCGAAAGCCUGACGGAGCAACGCCGCGUGAGUGAUGAAGGUCUUCGGAUCGUAAAACUCUGUUAUUAGGGAAGAACAUAGGUGUAAGAAACUGUGCACAUCUUGACGGUACCUAAACAGAAAGCCACGGCUAACUACGUG